UAAUCGUUUGGUAGUGAUUGUUAGAUCAAUUGAGACAUUUUUAAAAAAUAUAAUCACUCUAAAAUACGAAAUUACAAAUUUCGCUGAUAUGAAUAUAUAGAUAUACGCACGUUUUCGUGGUUGCCCAGGUUGCACGUAUAUUGACGUGUUAGGUUAUGAUCCCCGAAGAGCUAUUGGGUGCGGAGUGCAAUUCAAUAAAUGAUGAAUCAUGGUUAAUUAAAAGUAAAUAGGAGCGAGCCUCCAAAGUAUCAGGAAAUAUCCGGCGAUUUACAGAGCUGCAGUUUAAUUGCAAUCAGAGUUUUACCUCUAGUAUUACUUCAGGAAAAUCAAGUUCAACCUGGAUUGCAAGUUUUCAGGACGUCAUCCUGGACGGACAAGCAGAAUAUAGAUUCUUGCGUAUUUGUUAGGAGGCGUUAUCAUCUUUCAAUGGGGCGAGACACAAGGUCACCGUCUUCUGCUGCCUCAAAUAUUCUCAGCAAAGAGCUUCAAUUUACGAUUUAUUUUGUUCGGGUUCACCACUGUCAGAUUCUUUGGCACUGCGAACUAUCACACCCAAAACCAUGCAGGCUUGACUUUGCAAGAGAUUUAACAAUAUAUUUCACUAGAACGGUCCGGUCGCUUAUAGAGUGGCAAUAUCUGUUUUUCAGUGGUUAUGAUAGGAAAAUAAUGAUGACAGCGUUGUCGAACGUCCUUGAGCACCGUGUGACUAACAAUGACACGAGAUUGAACGAGAUCACAGUCAAAGUAACGAGUCAAUUUUUUUACAUAACGAAGGCGGCGUUAGAACGAGAAGCAAAUUUCUCACGCUACCUUUUCAGUGGACUAUCAUUCCUGUGCUUGUCACAAUUGUGAAAUUUUGUAAAUGAAUUGUCGACUGAUGUGGAAGCAAUUGCCGUGAAAAAUGACACCGAGGCUUUGGAUAGCGGGAAUGACGAGAACGGUGGAGACACGAUACUUGAUCCAGACGACGGCUCUGAUUUACUUCGUAUCGUUGAUGAGGAUGAAGAAGAGGAGGAUCUAGAUCUGCUAUAAGAUUCAAUUCAUCAUAGAAAUUUGAACCAGUAUAUCCAAGAUUUCCUAACAAAUUUCUUGUCGCAGAACUGCUUCCAAGCUUUCGUUGAGCAUCUGACACCACCGGUUCUCACGAAUUUGAAUAUAAACGCGAGUUAUGAGUCAAAGAGUAAUGAUAAGAAAUGAAAUAUAAAUUAAUCACAAAGCAGACCGCCAUGGAGCAAGUGUCGUUCGUGAUUUCCGUACAAGAAUAAGCACCCGUGACUCCUUUACCGCUCCAGAUUUGCCGGAUGCCUUAAACAGUAUUUUUCUUGUCCUCGCGAACAUCCAGGAACCACCGAUUGAACAGUCCACGGUCUCCGACGCCACGUAAACAUCGACAUAAAUACAAAUUCUAAAAAAAAAGAGUUAUAAAAAACGGAAAAAAGUCAAAAAAAGACUUCAACUCGUGAAAGUUGAAAAAAACUUGAUCUCAUCCGCUUUUUUUGUCUACAUAUUCGAACAGAUUUCGACCGAAAUCGUUGUUCGGUAACAGGAGAAUCUAUAAAUCUAUAUACUGAGCUUAGUUAAUCAAUUUUUAUCAGAUAAUACGCUUUUUUCAAUCUUCUUGAUAAUUUUUUUCUGUAACGACUCAAUGACCGAUUAUAUUUAUUGGUAAAUAAAUUCCAGCUAGGCGUAAGCAUCUAUGUCGACAAUUUCUAUGAAAAAUCAAAUAAAACCUUUCAAAUAUUCAUGAGAA